AGUGAACGCUGGCGGUAGGCCUAACACAUGCAAGUCGAACGGCAGCACAGUAAGAGCUUGCUCUUACGGGUGGCGAGUGGCGGACGGGUGAGGAAUACAUCGGAAUCUACUUUUUCGUGGGGGGUAACGUAGGGAAACUUACGCUAAUACCGCAUACGACCUACGGGUGAAAGCAGGGGAUCUUCGGACCUUGCGCGAUUGAAUGAGCCGAUGUCGGAUUGGCUAGUUGGCGGGGUAAAGGCCCACCAAGGCGACGAUCCGUAGCUGGUCUGAGAGGAUGAUCAGCCACACUGGAACUGAGACACGGUCCAGACUCCUACGGGAGGCAGCAGUGGGGAAUAUUGGACAAAGGGCGCAAGCCUGAUCCAGCCAUACCGCGUGGGUGAAGAAGGCCUUCGGGUUGUAAAGCCCUUUUGUUGGGAAAGAAAAGCAGCAGGUUAAUACCCCGCUGUUCUGACGGUACCCAAAGAAUAAGCACCGGCUAACUUCGUG
rnacentral:rRNA from 1 species